rnacentral:lncRNA from 1 species
UUGGUUAUCACUUUAUCCAAAUAAGACUCUUGAUUAAUAGUCAUCCUAUUAUCAGCCCUAUUCUUUUUAAUAACCAUGCCAAGGAUUUUUCUUGCCUCUGCUAAGUCUUUCAUGUCAAAUUUCGAUUUUAAAAGGUUUUUCAUCUUUAUGAUUUCAGCUUUACUAGGAUUAGUAAGCAACAUGUCAUCCACAUAUAACAAUAAAUAAACUUCACAGCCUAUUUUAGAGUUAUUAAAAUAUAGACAUGCAUCAAAUUCACUCCUCUUAAAACCAAUUUUAAGCAUAUAAGCAUCAAAUCUCUUAUACCAUUGCCUAGGACUCUACUUAAGACCAUAUAAGGACUUUCUAAGCAAAUACACAAGUUCUGAUUUUUCCUUCACCUAGAACCCUUGAGGUUGAGACAUGUAAAUCAAUUCAUCUAACUCCCCAUGAAGAAAAGCCGUCUUAACAUCUAGUUGCUCCAACUCCCAAUCAUACUGGACAACUAAGGCUAAGACUAACCUGAUAGUUUUAUACUUAAUAACCGGUGAGAAUAUCUCAUUAUAGUCUAUCCCUUCUCUCUGAGUAAAUCCCUUCGCAACCAACCUGGCUUUGUAUGUUAAAAGGUCUUUAGGUCCUACUCCUUCUUUUAAUUUGUAGAUCCAUUUACAAUGGAUAUCUUUUGAUUCUUUGAUUUUUCAACCAACUUCCAAGUCUCAUUUUUGUGUAGAGACUAGAUCUCUUCUCUCAUUGCCUUUUUCCAAUUUUCAGAAUUUUCACAGUUAACCGCUUCCUCAAAUGAAGUCGGUUCAACUGACUCCAAGGCUUCACCUGAAACUAGGACAAAUUCCAUCAAAUUUGAAGAGAUGUAUUUCAAAUUGGGCUUCACUUGUCUUCUUUCUCUAUCCCUCACUAAUUGGUAAUUAUCCAAAUUAGUGCCUGCAGAUGUUUCUUGAUUAGGGACAACAGUUUCAGAAAUUUCAAGUUCAGGUUGUUCUAUCACUGCUUCUUGAUCAAAUUCUUCUUGAGAUUGGAUUUCACUAUCCUCUAGAUUAUCUCAUAAUCUCUUCGCCUCAAAUUCCAUCUUCUUUCCAGUAGAAGAUUCUCCUUUCUCAGUCUGUUUGUUCUGACUUACUAGGUUUUUAAGAGAAGGCAUAUCAAGUUCAUUGAACUUUACAUCUCUACUGUUAAUAAUCUUAAUGCCCUUUACACCUAAAACUCAUAGUCUAUGUCUUUUUACUCCCUCUAGAUAACCUAACAUGACACACUUAGUAGCCCUAGGGUCCAAUUUGCCCUCAACCUGAUGUGCAUAAGCUGCACAACCAAACACUCUAAUAUGUGACAAAUCUGGGGAUUUUCCAGACCACAACUCAUGAGGAGUCUUGAAGUUAACAGAACUAGAAGGUGACCUAUUUAUUAAAUAGGCAGCAGUGCACACGACUUCACCCCAGAAACCUUUAGACAACCCAAAAUUAAUC